rfam:Myotis davidii contig177417, whole genome shotgun sequence.
ACCCCCUGGCAAUGGGCAAGGAGACACAUGAUUGGUGAUGUUGCUCUUAUAUCACUCAGGGGCAAAGUAGAUGUACAGUCCUUAGUUCAUCCUAGCUUGAUGCCUAUUUCGGUGGCCAGAGCUGUUUCAUGCCUGAGGCACAUAA